rnacentral:rRNA from 1 species
CUGAUGCAGCCAUGCCGCGUGUAUGAAGAAGGCCUUCGGGUUGUAAAGUACUUUCAGUCGUGAGGAAGGCGGCGUCGUUAAUAGCGGCGUUGUUUGACGUUAGCGACAGAAGAAGCACCGGCUAACUCCGUGCCAGCAGCCGCGGUAAUACGGAGGGUGCGAGCGUUAAUCGGAAUUACUGGGCGUAAAGCGCAUGCAGGUGGUUUGUUAAGUCAGAUGUGAAAGCCCGGGGCUCAACCUCGGAAUAGCAUUUGAAACUGGCAGACUAGAGUACUGUAGAGGGGGGUAGAAUUUCAGGUGUAGCGGUGAAAUGCGUAGAGAUCUGAAGGAAUACCGGUGGCGAAGGCGGCCCCCUGGACAGAUACUGACACUCAGAUGCGAAAGCGUGGGGAGCAAACAGGAUUAGAUACCCUGGUAGUCCACGCCGUAAACGAUGUCUACUUGGAGGUUGUGGCCUUGAGCCGUGGCUUUCGGAGCUAACGCGUUAAGUAGACCGCCUGGGGAGUACGGUCGCAAGAUUAAAACUCAAAUGAAUUGACGGGGGCCCGCACAAGCGGUGGAGCAUGUGGUUUAAUUCGAUGCAACGCGAAGAACCUUACCUACUCUUGACAUCCAGAGAACUUUCCAGAGAUGGAUUGGUGCCUUCGGGAACUCUGAGACAGGUGCUGCAUGGCUGUCGUCAGCUCGUGUUGUGAAAUGUUGGGUUAAGUCCCGCAACGAGCGCAACCCUUAUCCUUGUUUGCCAGCGAGUAAUGUCGGGAACUCCAGGGAGACUGCCGGUGAUAAACCGGAGGAAGGUGGGGACGACGUCAAGUCAUCAUGGCCCUUACGAGUAGGGCUACACACGUGCUACAAUGGCGCAUACAGAGGGC